UCCAGAGUGAGGGGCUCAGCUGUCCAGAAGGAAGCCAGCAAGGACUCCAUUACAGUUGGGACAACCUGGGGCGGAGCCCCAUGGAGGAAGAAGAGAAUGGUGGAAGUAAAACUUCUCUGCCAAGUAAGGUAGAAGGAAGAGGAUGUGAUUUCCAUUUAUACUGCUGUAGGAGAAUGUUCUUUGUUGACAUGGAUCCCCACUGUGCUGUCUCUGAGGAGUGUCUAUCAUGUGAGCUGCUUGUGGGCUUCUGUCCAAGAGUCACCCUCCGGGGAGCUGGAGAAUCACAGGGGAAAGGCAGAAGGUGACAUCACCUUGCCCUGGGGGAGAGAGCUCGAAGUCUGGGAAAUGGGGAGCAAUGCCCAUUGGGCUCGUCUGUAGCAGCUCUUUGGUGACAGGAUUCUAAACAAAACUCACGCUCAAGGAAAGGGAUUUCUGGGGUUUACUGUGUUCCACUGCGCUGUUCAGGGUAGAGGUACAGAUCCCAGGCUCUGUAUGCUUCCCUGUACAGCCUACAAAAUCCAAAAGGAGGGUUAAAUUUAAGAAACCCAAAGUGAGGCGAGAACUCAUUAUGCCCACAAGAGGACUCUUAUACAGUAUUUAACAUUUUCUCCUUUUGACUCCAGGAACCAUAUUUAGCAUCCAGUUUUAAGAAACGUUUUCUGCUGUGAAAAUCAACAAAGAUCAACCAAAUGAGAUCAUUUAUUCAGGGUUUGCUGUAGCAAAGGAGUCAGCCACCAAUACACAUUUUGGCAGAGUCUCAGAAGCAGGCAGAGGAGUGGAAAAGCUUCACCAUGGAAAGAAGGGAAGGCUGUGGCCUUGCCCUGAUUGGAGGCUGUCGGCGUGUGUAAACUGUAGGCUGGCCAACUAGAAGUGGGGUAUUGUACGGGGUUGAUGAGGAGUGCAUAUUUCCUUUCUAUGGAAAAAAUAGGGGCAAGAGAUAGGGAGAUGGUCAGUUAUUAAUAAAGGGCUGACCAUUUGGGUCUGACUGUUACAGGAGUUAUUGCUUGACUUCCUGGACUGAUGGGUAGAGGUGGAGGUCCAACUUCCUACACUUCUGACUAACAGAGAGUAGAUCGGCUCCCGUGGUUGCUUCAGAGUGUAGGCUAGAGUUCAGUUUGUAUAUGUGGUCUGGUCAUUGUCCAUUUGUGUAAUUAGCAUCUCACUACCAAACCUUGAAGUGUUUCAGCCUGAAAGUCUAGAGAGGGUGGAUUGCAGGAGUACAAAAAGAUGCGCAUCCAAGGGAAGGUCAGCUUUCUUUGCUCCCCCUCUGCUCAGGCCUGUGUGGCAAUAGCAAUGUCAGAUCAAGGGGGACAAUGGUCCAGAAGUUCCAGAUGUGGCCACUGAAAGGGCGGGCCUACGCCGGCCGACUCCAUCUUGUUCUGUGACCUUGACCACACCUUCUCCCCUUGAGUAACCCCCCCCUCACCUGCCUAACAGGACUCGGACCCUUCCCCAGCCAAUCGGCUGAGGUCAUAGCCAUUACCUCACCAACUGCCCCUAGGCCCCAAUAAAACCUUUGGCCUUUUGAAACUCGCUCUCUCUCCCUGGUAUCUCACCGCCGCGUCAGUGCAGGUAGGGGAUUGAGCUCGAGCUAACUAGAAUAAAGGCUCUUUUGCUUUUGCAUCGGACUCGGCUCCCUGGCGGUAUUUGGGGAUCACGAAUUCUGGGCAUAACAGCCACUACCAAAGCUGAAAAUGAGGAGAGGCAGAUAACAACAGGGAAGCCACUGCCGCAGUAUGGACCCGCUCAGGAGUCACAGUGAGAGCCCUUUUUCCAAAUAUUAAAGAGGAAGGUUAUCUUGAUGGCUGAAGGAAGCACUCCAGUUACACUGUGUAAGAUAAGGAAUUCCCCAAGAGCACAGCCCUUUGAUGAAAUACCCAAUAUCCCUGAGUAUUUAUUUCAGAAGUAGAGUUUGCCUUGAAAAUGAUGUCAGUCAACAUGUCCUAGCAUCACAUUUGUAAACAGCUUAUUUGCUGCCCUUCUCCUACCAUCAGUUUUAACUAGAAAUCUUUAAAAUGGUCUCUGAGAAUCAUUCUCCCCCACCUGAGCCCAUAGCUUUGGUUUAUGAUUCUCCUAUGGCUUUUAAAUUGCUGUAUAGUUUAUUGUAUUCAUACUGACUUCUCUUAACCUCCAACAGACUGUGGGCUGUCUUUGUUUUAUCACCUGCAGGGCAGGUACUGGCAUUGAAACAACACUGGCUGAUCUGCAUCUCUGUGAAGGGUGACACAUUCGUUCUCCCCAGUACUUAACUGAGAAGAGCUUUCCUGCCAAAGCAGAAGAUAGGUGCUGGAGGACACGAAGAUGUGGCUGUGACUGCCUGCUGGCCUCAGGGCAUGAGAAAAGCGGCCGAGUAAAUACAUACAUACAUUUACAUACAAAGUAAAGGAAUGGAAGUAAGUACAAAGUGCCUUGGGAACACAAAUAAGGAAGUAACUUGCUUUGACUGGCAAAUCUGGCUUCACCAAAGAGGUUAAGUUUUGAAGGAUGAAAGGAGGUUUGCAGGGAGGAGUAAAACAUCCAGGCAGAGGGAAUGUGACAGAAUGCACAGUAGCCCAGGUGAUGGCAUCUAGGGGAGGGCAGGUGGGUGGAGGAGGGCUGGUGGAGAGGCAGCUGCCACUGUCCACGGGGACCAGAUUAUGAAAAGCCUUGUUGCCAUUUUUAUAAGGCAUUUGGAUUUCAUUCUAGUCGCAACAUGGAGUCUACGCAGGCUGCUAAGCACAGGAAUGUCAAACAUCUGUGUUGUAUUAUAAUUUUGGCAUCGAUGUGGCAGAUGGAUGGGGACGCCCGGUUUAAGAGACCACAGAUUGUAAGGACCUGAACUAGACAAAUGAUGGGGGUCAUG
rnacentral:lncRNA from 1 species